rnacentral:rRNA from 2 species
CUCAUCGCAUCCUGGGGCUGUAGUCGGUCCCAAGGGUUGGGCUGUUCGCCCAUUAAAGCGGUACGCGAGCUGGGUUCAGAACGUCGUGAGACAGUUCGGUCCCUAUCCGUCGUGGGCGUAGGAAAUUUGAGAGGAGCUGUCCUUAGUACGAGAGGACCGGGAUGGACACACCGCUGGUGUACCAGUUGUCUUGCCAAAGGCAUCGCUGGGUAGCUAUGUGUGGACGGGAUAAGUGCUGAAAGCAUCUAAGCAUGAAGCCCCCCUCAAGAUGAGAUUUCCCAUAGCGCAAGCUAGUAAGGUCCCUGAAAGAUGAUCAGGUUGAUAGGUCAGAGGUGGAAGCGUGGCGACAUGUGUAGCUGACUGAUACUAAUCGAUCGAGGACUUAACCAAAUU